rnacentral:rRNA from 1 species
AUUGAACGCUGGCGGCAGGCCUAACACAUGCAAGUCGAGCGAGCGGCGGACGGGUGAGUAAUGUCUGGGAAACUGCCUGAUGGAGGGGGAUAACUACUGGAAACGGUAGCUAAUACCGCAUACCAUCAGAUGUGCCCAGGGGGGAUUAGCUGGUAGGGGGGGUAACGGCUCACCUAGGCGACGCUCCCUAGCUGGUCUGAGAGGAUGAACAGCCAAACAGGAACUGAAACACGGUCCAGACUCCUACGAGAGGCAGCAGUGGGGAAUAGUGCACAAUGGGCGAAAGCCAGAUGCAGCAAUGCCGAGUGUGUGACGAAGGCCUUCGGGUUGGAAAGAACUUUCAGCAGGGAAGCGUUACCCGCAGAAGAAGCACCGGCUAACUCCGUGCCAGCAGACGCGGUAAUAC